rnacentral:rRNA from 1 species
AGUGAACGCUGGCGGCAGGCCUAACACAUGCAAGUCGAACGGCAGCACAAGAGAGCUUGCUCUCUGGGUGGCGAGUGGCGGACGGGUGAGGAAUGCAUCGGAAUCUGCCCAUUUGUGGGGGAUAACCUCGGGAAACCGGGACUAAUACCGCAUACGACCUACGGGUGAAAGCAGGGGAUCUUCGGACCUUGCGCAGAUGGAUGAGCCGAUGCCGGAUUAGCUAGUUGGAGGGGUAAAGGCCCACCAAGGCGACGAUCCGUAGCUGGUCUGAGAGGAUGAUCAGCCACACUGGGGCUGAGACACGGCCCAGACUCCUACGGGAGGCAGCAGUGGGGAAUAUUGGACAAUGGGCGCAAGCCUGAUCCAGCCAUGCCGCGUGUGUGAAGAAGGCCUUCGGGUUGUAAAGCACUUUUGUUGGGAAAGAAAAGCAGCCGGUUAAUACCCGGUUGUCAUGACGGUACCCAAAGAAUAAGCACCGGCUAACUUCG